UCGGGUCUAGUGGCGCACGGGUGCGUAACGCGUGGGAACCUGCCUUUAGGUUCGGAAUAACUCCCCGAAAGGGGUGCUAAUACCGAAUAAUGUCUUCGGACCAAAGAUUUAUCGCCUUUAGAUGGGCCCGCGUUGGAUUAGCUAGUUGGUGGGGUAAAGGCUCACCAAGGCGACGAUCCAUAGCUGGUCUGAGAGGAUGAUCAGCCACACUGGGACUGAGACACGGCCCACACUCCUACGGGAGGCAGCAGUGGGGAAUAUUGGACAAUGGGCGAAAGCCUGAUCCAGCAAUGCCGCGUGAGUGAUGAAGGCCUUAGGGUUGUAAAGCUCUUUUACCCGGGAUGAUAAUGACAGUACCGGGAGAAUAAGCUCCGGCUAACUCCGUGCCAGCAGCCGCGGUAGUACGGAGGGAGCUAGCGUUGUUCGGAAUUACUGGGCGUAAAGCGCGCGUAGGCGGCUAUUCAAGUCAGGGGUGAAAUCCCGGGGCUCAACCCCGGAACUGCCCUUGAAACUGGAUGGCUAGAAUCCUGGAGAGGCGAGUGGAAUUCCGAGUGUAGAGGUGAAAUUCGUAGAUAUUCGGAAGAACACCAGUGGCGAAGGCGACUCGCUGGACAGGUAUUGACGCUGAGGUGCGAAAGCGUGUGGAGCAAACAGGAUUAGAUACCCUGGUAGUCCACGCCGUAACGAUGAUAACUAGCUGUCCGGUCACAUGGUGCU
rnacentral:rRNA from 1 species